GCGGGGCACCUGGCGGCGAGUGGUGAACGGGUGAGUAAUAUAUCGGAACGUACCCUGGAGUGGGGGAUAACGUAGCGAAAGUUACGCUAAUACCGCAUACGAUCUAAGGAUGAAAGUGGGGGAUCGCAAGACCUCAUGCUCCUGGAGCGGCCCGAUAUCUGAUUAGCUAGUUGGUGGGGUAAAGGCCUACCAAGGCAUCGAUCAGUAGCUGGUCUGAGAGGACGACCAGCCACACUGGAACUGAGACACGGUCCAGACUCCUACGGGAGGCAGCAGUGGGGAAUUUUGGACAAUGGGCGCAAGCCUGAUCCAGCAAUGCCGCGUGAGUGAAGAAGGCCUUCGGGUUGUAAAGCUCUUUUGUCAGGGAAGAAACGGGUGGAGCUAAUAUCUCUGCCUAAUGACGGUACCUGAAGAAUAAGCACCGGCUAACUACGUGCCAGCAGCCGCGGUAAUACGUAGGGUGCAAGCGUUAAUCGGAAUUACUGGGCGUAAAGCGUGCGCAGGCGGUUUUGUAAGUCUGUCGUGAAAUCCCCGGGCUCAACCUGGGAAUUGCGAUGGAGACUGCAAGGCUAGAAUCUGGCAGAGGGGGGUAGAAUUCCACGUGUAGCAGUGAAAUGCGUAAGAUGUGGAGGAACACCGAUGGCGAAG
rnacentral:rRNA from 1 species